AAACAGAAAUAUAUAUUUUUAGAUUAACCAAAGUUCAUAAAACAGUAUAUCAAAUUUCUCAAGCGUAUCUCAUACACCACAAAAGCAUAUUUGUUUCAGACUAAAUAUUUGUAUUUAUAUUUGCGAAAUCAUAUAUGCAUACAUUAUACAAAGUCAUAUAUAUUUCGAAAUCAGAUAUCAGGCUUUGCAUAAGCAACAUUUUAAAUCCAACAUAUAAACUCAUAUACAUAUACAUUUUGCAUGCUUAAUCCGAUUUUAAUAAAUCAUAGGACAAAAUAUUAUAUCUCAUGUACAAAUUCAGAUUGAAGCUAAU
rnacentral:lncRNA from 1 species